rnacentral:rRNA from 1 species
GACGAACGCUGGCGGCGUGCCUAAUACAUGCAAGUCGAACGCAGUGGGGACGGUUGAGUAACACGUGGGUAACCUCCCAUCAGAGGGGAGAACACUUGGAAACAGGUGCUAAACCCAUACUGAUGGAUGGAGCCGCGGUGGUUUAGCUAGUGGGUGAGGUAACGGCGCACCAAGGCCACGAUGAAUAGCCGGCCUGGGAGGAUGAGCGGCCACACUGGGACUGAGACACGGCCCAGACUCCUACGGGAGGCAGCAGUAGGGAAUCUUCGGCAAUGGAGGAAAGUCUGACCGAGCAACGCCGCGUGAGUGAAGAAGGUUUUCGGAUCGUAAAGCUCUGUUGUUAGAGAGGCGGUAUCUAACCAGAAAGCAACGGCUAACUACGUGCCAGCAGCCGCGGUAAUAC